UUACAUUUUCAGAACAGCUCUCGCUAAUGUGAGCAGUGAUUAAUCCUGGUUGACAGACUUCAGCAGGACCUGGCUUCACCACAAUGGCAGAAGGAAACAUCCCCGCGAUGCCGGAUGAGCGCAGUUCCGCGCAGCACCAGCACAACCCACCACACACCUUCCUCCCUUGGACGGGCCCACAAUGGUGACGCCCCGCGCCUCUGCCAGCAGCCAAUGCAGUGGGGGGAGAUGGAGAGGUUGCACCGCCCCUUCCGCCUCUGCACCAAGCCACUUGGUACGUCACUUCCUCUCCUUCCGCCGAAGAGGGAAGAUGGCUGCCGGAGAAGCGACAGGAGCAGCCAAUGGGAGGGCGGGGGAAGGGUCGGGGGCGGGGCUAACGGGGGGCGGUGCGCCGCGCACGCGGUAGCCGGCUGUGUGGAGCGGAGCUUCCGAGGGGAGGAGUGUGGAGGGGCUAAACCGUGUCCUCUCGUGCUUGCCUGA
rnacentral:lncRNA from 14 species